CCUGGAAAUCAAACACCCACAAUCUGACACACACUGUAUGUCAGAUUGUGUGUGUGAUUUCCAGGA